GAUGUAGAACGUAGCGAAAUGCGAUACUUGGUGUGAAUUGCAGAAUCCCGCGAAUCAUCGAGUUUUUGAACGCAAGUUGCGCCCGAAGCCAUUCGGCCGAGGGCACGUCUGCCUGGGUGUCACGCAUCGUUGCCCCCCCAAACUCCGGUUCGGGCGGGGCGGAAGUUGGCCUCCCGUGCGUGCCUGCGCGCGCGGUUAGCCCAAAAGCGAGUCCUCGGCGACGAGCGCCACGACAAUCGGUGGUUUUUUUACCCUCGUUCCUCGUCGUGCGUGUCCCGUCGCCCGAACGCGCUCUUGCGACCCUCACGCGUCGCCUCGGCGGCGCUCCCAACGCGACCCCAGGUCAGGCGGGACUACCCGCUGAGUUUAAGCAUAUCAAUAAGCGGAGGA
rnacentral:misc_RNA from 1 species